rnacentral:rRNA from 1 species
CGUCCCUGAUGAAUCCAUUGUGCUAACCGCCCAAAACCAGGGCCACUGAUCCCUUCGGGGUGACGGGUUCUGGGGCUGCGCGGGACCCCGGUGGGUAGUAGUCAAGCGAU